UACAGAGGGUGCGAGCGUUAAUCGGAAUUACUGGGCGUAAAGCGCGCGUAGGCGGCUUUGCAAGUCGGGUGUGGAAAUACCCCAAGGCUUAACCUGGGAACUGCAUUCGAGACUGCAUUGCUAGAGUAUGGGAGAGGGAAGUGGAAUUUCCGGUGUAGCGGUGAAAUGCGUAGAUAUCGGAAGGAACAUCAGUGGCGAAAGCGACUUCCUGGACCAAUACUGACGCUCAUGUGCGAAAGCGUGGGGAGCAAACAGGA
rnacentral:rRNA from 1 species